rnacentral:rRNA from 1 species
CCAGACUCCUACGGGAGGCAGCAGUGGGGAAUAUUGGGCAAUGGGCGAAAGCCUGACCCAGCAACGCCGCGUGAAGGAAGAAGGCUUUCGGGUUGUAAACUUCUUUUGACAGGGAGGAGCAGAAGACGGUACCUGUCGAAUAAGCCACGGCUAACUACGUGCCAGCAGCCGCGGUAAUACGUAGGGAGCAAGCGUUGUCCGGAAUUACUGGGUGUAAAGGGAGCGUAGGCGGGAUAGUAAGUUGAUUGUUAAAACUAUCGGCUCAACUGGUAGAUGCGAUCAAAACUGCAAUUCUUGAGUGAAGUAGAGGCAGGCGGAAUUCCUGGUGUAGCGGUGAAAUGUGUAGAUAUCAGGAGGAACACCGGUGGCGAAGGCGGCCUGCUGGACUGCGACUGACGUUGAGGCCCGAAAGCGUGGGGAGCAAACAGGAUUAGAUACCCCGGUAAC